ACGCAAGCGCGGUCGGCACUGCCGCGCGGUGGCUCCUGGGUGCCGCUCACCUUCGCUCCCCGCGCCUCUCCCCUCCUCCUGCCGUCCCCGCCCCCUCGCCGCUCCGCUGCCUGGCGUGACUCGGCACGGAGAGCCGCGGGAGGAGACGCGGCUGUCGCCAGCUCCUCUGUCCAGGCCUCGGCCUUGCUGAGCCUUUCCCCGUCCGCGCCCGGGUUUUCUUCUUCACUUGAGAAGCCGGAGCCGUCGCGGCCGCCCGAGCGGGCUCUGUGUGAGCAUGGUGGGUGUGAAGCCGGUCGGGAGCGACCCGGAUUUCCAGCCGGAGCUGAGCGGCGCGGGCUCCAGACUCGCCGUCGUCAAGUUCACCAUGAGAGGGUGUGGACCAUGUUUGAGGAUUGCUCCAGCAUUCAGUUCUAUGAGUAAUAAAUAUCCACAGGCUGUUUUCUUGGAGGUAGAUGUACAUCAGUGUCAGGGAACAGCUGCCACCAACAAUAUAUCAGCAACACCUACAUUUUUAUUUUUUCGAAAUAAAGUGAGAAUUGAUCAGUAUCAAGGAGCAGAUGCUGUGGGACUAGAAGAAAAAAUCAAGCAGCACUUAGAAAAUGACCCUGGAAGUAAUGAGGACACAGACAUUCCAAAAGGCUAUAUGGACUUAAUGCCUUUUAUAAACAAGGCUGGUUGUGAAUGUCUUAAUGAAAGUGAUGAGCAUGGGUUUGACAACUGUUUAAGAAAAGAUAUGACCUUCUUGGAAUCUGACUGUGAUGAACAGCUACUUAUUACGGUGGCAUUCAAUCAACCUGUUAAGCUUUAUUCCAUGAAAUUUCAAGGACCAGAUAAUGGUCAGGGUCCCAAAUAUGUAAAGAUUUUUAUCAACCUACCCCGAUCUAUGGAUUUUGAAGAAGCAGAAAGAAGUGAGCCAACUCAAGCUCUAGAGCUGACAGAGGAUGAUAUUAAAGAGGAUGGCAUUGUUCCUCUUCGUUAUGUUAAGUUUCAGAAUGUUAACAGUGUGACCAUAUUUGUUCAGUCUAAUCAAGGUGAAGAAGAAACAACAAGAAUUUCAUAUUUUACUUUUAUUGGUACUCCUGUCCAGGCAACAAAUAUGAAUGACUUCAAACGACUUUUUUAAUCCAACUCAAACGAACUAAAACCAGAAGAUUUUUUUUAAUGAAGUAAUAAAAGAUUGACCUUAUCUCACAAUACUCCCCUCCUUGCUUCUCUGCUCAUCUAGCACCUGUCUGCUCUCACCCUUUCCAUGUUCUCUCCAUUGUCACUGCAAGAUGUCUACAGCUUCCAUCACCUGGAUCAGCCUUGUUACCUAGAUUGCCUCAACAGUCUCCUUCUUCAAAUCUCAUCCUAGCCAUAUUUCUCAGUUGGCCUUUUUAUUUUCUUUUGGGCUUGCAGCUAGGUGCUUUAAUUUCAUUACUCUACUGUGCUGCUCACCAGACUUUUACUUUUUACUGUUUCAUGGUUACUUUUGUUCUGGAUUUUGAGGAGUGACACUGAAAUAAAACUUAAAUUGUUAUAAUGCUUUCAGAUUUAACUAGAUGAUGUUUUAAUCCAUUCUAAAAUUUUAUUUUUUAGGAGCUACAGAAUCAUUUUGGAAAUAGUUUUUAUACUAGAGCUGCUAUAAUACAUUAAUUAGGUUUUACUUGAGGGAUGUGGGUUUUCUUUUUCUCUUUGCACUGUUAGCCCCAAAGUCAUUUUGAUGAUUGACGUGGUUGUAUCCUUUACUUUGGCCCAUCUAAGAGCUCAAGGCCAGUUGAAGGAUUUACGGACUGAAUGAUAGUCUGAGUCAGAAUAUUAACAUAGAAGAUCAAUGGACUCUGCUGAAUAAAUAUCUUAACAUCUAAUUUUGAUGUACAUAAACUUUUGUUUGAGGUGUAAUAUAAAGCUUAAGAAAGAGUGAAAGAGCUUUACAUUUGGGGUAGUUGGCAAAAAAGGAGAAAGCCAUUAAGAUUCAAACGACACUGGAAGACCUCUUGCAAUCAGAUUUGCAGCUCCUGGAUAAUUGCUUGAUUCUCUCCAGAGACUGUCAAUAUUGCAUUCAUUGCCAUCACCAAUAAAUCAUUGCUUUUGUUCAGAUGGUAUCAAUAGUGUUUCUAUUGUAAUCUUGUUACAUGCAAUUGUAAAUAAAAGUCACUACUUUUGCCAAGCUUAAAAUUUUGUCAUUUAUAUAGUAUUUUCCCUUACCUUUUAUUUGGAAAUUAUUCAGCUUCUGAUUUUAGGAGAGACAAGUAUCUGGUAGCAUAUCAUUUGAAAGCUAGUUUCUCUUUUUAGAGGAACAAAACUGUUGUAGGGAAUUAAGGAGUAUAUGUGUACAUACACAUAUACAGGCACAUAGAACAAAUGAUUUUGAUAAAUAAACUUGAAUAGCUAACCAAGUAGAAAAGAAUACUGACUUACAUUUUUAUUAAAAGACAUUAGAGUACUUGGGCAAAAGAAGUUACUCAAGUUGGAAACUAUCAGAAAUAAAUAGGUUCAAUGAGAUUGAACUACUCUUACCUAGAACUGUUAAUUAGCCUACACAUUCUCAUGCCAGGAUUUUAAUCCCUUCUGAAUAAAUGUUAAACGUUUGAGUUAGCCAUUUUCUUUACCAAAGGACGAGUGUUGAAUUCAGACAGUUGGGAAAAAUAUAGGACAGUGAACUCCUGAAAAAAUAGAAAUCAUUAUAUUUAAUUCAGUACCAUCUGAUUAUAAAAACGUAUUAAUGUACAGAGAAUAUGAUUUAAGUUUGAAAAUGAAUUGACCAAGUGUUUAUAUGUAAGAUGCUUCACAGAAAGCUGGCUGAACAAAACAUUUGUUCUUUAUUGCUUUUUUUUUUAAAUCUCAAAAUUACCUGGAAAGUAUUGUAUUGGUAAAUUUAAUUUUUAUAUUUUGAAGUGUUUUAAAAAUUUAAUAUUUUAAAAAUACUAAGACUCUAACUUGUGAUUCAGUUAGUGCAUUUGAGGACAUUCUGUCUAAAGAAAAACAAAUACUGUUUGCCCUUGGGAGAUCAAUGUAUUUAUACAUGAUUAUGAAAAAAUCUGUGUGUAAGUUUUAGUGUUGAAGUGGUCACUUUCUGAAAUCCGAGUGUCAUUAAUGUUUUAGUUCAUUUGUAUGUGCACACAGUAACCGUGGUGAUGUCUCUAUUUUAUGUAUUUCACAGUUUUCUUGCCUUGGGUCGAGUGGUGGCAGAAGUGCAAAAAUAAAAGUUUAUAACAAUCCAAA